rnacentral:rRNA from 1 species
AGUGAACGCUGGCGGCAGGCCUAAUACAUGCAAGUCGAACGGCAGCACAGUGGAGCUUGCUCCAUGGGUGGCGAGUGGCGGACGGGUGAGGAAUACAUGGGAAUCUGCCCAGUCGUGGGGAUAACGUAUGGAAACGUACGCUAAUACCGCAUGCGCCCUUCGGGGGAAAGUCGGGGACCGCAAGGCCUGACGCGAUUGGAUGAGCCCAUGUUCGAUUAGCUAGUUGGCGGGUAACGGCCCACCAAGGCGACGAUCGAUAGCUGGUCUGAGAGGAUGAUCAGCCACACUGGAACUGAGACACGGUCCAGACUCCUACGGGAGGCAGCAGUAGGGAAUAUUGGACAAUGGGGGCAACCCUGAUCCAGCCAUGCCGCGUGAGUGAAGAAGGCCCUCGGGUUGUAAAGCUCUUUUGUUGGGGAAGAAAGCAGUUGGUUAAUACCCGGAUUGUUCUGACGGUACCCAAGAAUAAGCACCGGCUAACUUCGUGCCAGCAGCCGCGGU